UGUGGCAGCUCUCAGUGGUUGGGGUGUGGGCUCAGCUCCUCCAGGUCCACUGGGGUUCAUCUCCCCCCUCCCUGUCCCUCUUCCUCCCUUCCCUCCCCUCUCCUCCCAAUCCCUGGGACAUUCCCCUUUCCCUUCCUUCUCUUGCCUUGUUUUUCACUGAGGCAGAAGCAAAGCACUCCAAAAGGGAUGAUCCUGACUCCUAAAACAAAAGGCCCGAGCCCAGGAACCACGUUCCCCCUGCCAGGCUAAUUUGUAUCUGGGUUAAUUGCUCUCAUGCUGGAUGUUUAAUUGAUUUGUGUGCAGAAAGCCACUGAGAGGCUGCAGCUCAGUGACAGCUCCACAGAACUGCACUGACUCCCUUAUUUUUCUUUUUAAUUAGUGCAAAAGCAAGAGUGUACCUUGCAAAAGGCUGCUGGGCUCUCGGGGGGAUCAGUUACUGUGGAGAUGCUGGACAUAAAAGAGUUUAUUUUUCUGAGCAGUGCUGGGGAGGUUUUUCCAGGUAAGAAAGUUCCACAGAAAAUUAAAAAAAUAAAAGAAGUGGCCAUUAAAGUGGUGCUUGUUGGAGGACUCACCUUGUACUGUGUGGGUGAAAAACCUGACAAUUUAAUAAUAUUAAUUAUCACCUUGGCCAAAGAGCUCCAAGGAGCCCGGGCAACCUGAUUUAUGGAAAUCUGAGCUGUGUUUUGGCUGGAAUGUCAGCUCAGUUUUUCCAGUCUUUUUCUUGUAACAUCUAAAUAAUAUUCUGAGCAGAAAUAACUAUAAGCUGAUUAGGGGGGAAGCAAUAAAUACGAAUCAAAUCCAAUCAUGCAGGGACUCAGGGGAAGCAAAUCGAUAAUUUUCCUAACAUGUUCUGCAAACUCAUGUUCCUGGGGAAAAAAAAUCCACGUGGCUCCUCUAAGUCUUGAUUAAGCAGGAGCUGGGAGCCUUCCCUUUCAUCUCAAGGUCCUCAGCUGGGGUAAAACAUCAGAGGUUUUGAUAUAAAUUUAAAAGCAGUGGUGUCAGUUUGCAGCGAGUCAAAGCCAGGAGGGAACAGAACACCCACAGGGGACAGGCUGGGAAAGCCACCUUUCCUGAGGGGAUGGAGGAGAAGAGGGAAUUGUGAAAUUAUUCCAUAAUCUGAUUUAAAAAUGGAAAAAAAAAAAGAUAUUUUUUAAGUGCUUCUAUUUUUUUGUUGCUGUUAUUUCAAAUCAAUGCCUGUUCUGGACAGUUGUACAUUGGAUUAUGACCGAGGUGGUCACGAGCCAGGAGCUUGUUUGUCAUUUUGGGAUGGAAGGAAAGCUCAUCAAAAAUGUGUUUGUUUUUUUAAAUUUGCCAGCAUCAAAUGUAUUUCUGUAACCCUUGAAAUGAUUGUAUUCAUUGGUGCCCUGGAGCCUCCUCUUGGCUUUGAGACUCCAACAUUCCUGGUUUUCAAGUCUUUGUCUGUCUGACCCUCCACCACCACAUGGAAUUCUUUCUUCUCCCCACCAAAGUGAGGGUGAGAAGGACCCACAGGGGCAGAAAACACCUCAACAGAGAGGAUUUCAAGUGGUUCUGUGGUCACAGUGAUGCCACAAGACCACGAGGUGCCAACGUGGUGCAGCUGCUGCGUUGCUUUCUUUUUAAUUCCGAGCUUCAGACUGACAUUGUCUCUCAUUAACUGACUCCACCUCAAUUAACUGCAGGCACAAAACAGUCAGAGAAGGGAAUUUGGAAGUUACCACGUGUCAAUCUGAAGGUCAGAAUGUCCUGCAUCGUCCCCUGAGACGCUCCUGGCCUUGGCAGAGCAGGUUGUGUCUGGAAUUCUGUCAGUGGGGGGGUUUGGAAUUCAAAAGCCAGGCAAACAAAGACUCUCCCAGCUGAUCUCUUAACCCGAUUUCCUUAUGGAUCCAGUGGGAAUUAUUUGUGGAGAACGAGAGGAAGCUUCACCUAAUAAUCUCAUUUCUUCAGAGAGCCACAGUCUGCUCCCUCUACCCCCCUGUCUGUGCCUUGCAGUGACCUCUCCAUCCUCACACCACCGGCCAAGGUGGCAACAAACUUCUUCCAGUGGCUCCCACUGGUUUUCCUACUGACUUUUCCCUGUUUCAGUACAAUCCCCUCUCCUCUCAGUGGCAGGAAAAACACCCAUUCUGUGGAUGCUGCUGCUCCCUCUUAAAAAGUUUAAUUUCUGACUGGUUUUGAUUUCUUACUGGUUUUAUAACACUUGUAAUUCCAGAGAUGACACAGAGCUCAUGCCGAGGCCUCGGUUUAUUGGACACUUCUCCCCUCUCCUUGCCCGAGGCUCUCCCUGCAUCCCCAGCUCUCCUGGAUUGUCCUUGGCAUGGAGUGGAUUACCCAAGUCAGCAGACAGCAGGCACAGCCUUAUCCAGCUUUUUCUUUGGAUGGAACCCAGUGGAGCUUCCCAAGAAGAAGAGGAAAAUGUACAAAAUUUCUUCGUCCCCAGCUUUGUGUUUAAAGAUUCCAAGAGAAAGGAGCCUUUUUUUUUUUUUCAUCCAGUGGAUUCCAGCUGGGGUAAAAUAAAGACAUUUGGAAAGGGAAGCGUUUCUUGUCUUCAUGCCAGGAAGGUGAAGGUAAAAACUCCACGGACGUUCCAGCAAUUCAUCUCCCAGCUCCUGACCUGCCUGCCGGGGUGAGUUCGGGAGGCAAAUUAAACACGAAGGGUUUUGUUACACACAGAGCAUUUUAAAACUCGAGCUGGAAGGGGAAGCAUCGAGGGUUUGACACCAAAGCCUCGUCUCUGCUCAGGAGCCCAAAAUUCCAGCUGUUGUUUCUUGCCCAAUCACCUCCGUGCCAGGUGAGGGUGACCCCUGUGCUGACCUGUGCUGUCACUUCACUCCCUGGAUCAGAUCACAUCCAGGGCCUUCAACCGCCCUUUUCCUGCAGUAAUUUGGGGGUUUUACCAUCCAAGAGAAGGAGCCACCAAACAGGAGCCUGACUAAAAUGUAAGAGCCAGCAAACCUCAGUCGUGCUCCCUCCUGAGAGACUCUGCCCUGGAGGUGUCAUUUCAUCCUCCCGGAGCAAAUCCACGGGGGAAAAUUGCUCCUUCUCCCAGCUGUGACUUCCCCCCGAACUGCUGUGAACGUUCAGCUCUGAAGGGUUUGAUUUAUGGCACUUUCUGGAAGCUUGUACAAUCAUUUGCUUCUAUUAAUACCCCUCAUGCCCCACUGGCACCUUUAUGAGGGACAAAUCUGCAAGUCACAGAUGGAGGAAGACGAGGAAUUGGAAUCACCUGAGGAGCCUGAUUUCAACCCACACAAAUCCGGCUGGAAAGCUGGAAUGGGAGCCCAGGGGCUUUUUAAGGAAGGCACUCAGCCCUGGCAAUUUGGGGCCGUGGAAAAACUGCCACUGGCAAGGGGACUCAGAACCUUUUUCUGGGGAUGAUAAAGGAGAAGUGAGCAGGACAUGAAAAGCAGGGGAGAGCUGGGGGCUGUGUGUGCAGAUGCACUGGGGCUGUUUGAGACAAAAAGCCCAAAUCUUGUCCUAAGUGGGCUUUUAAUGCACUUUGGGUCAGGAUAAAGCCAGAGCAGCCACCCCAUGAUCGUGCCAGAAAGCCUGGAGUGUUCCUUGCACUUAGUUCAUUAUUCCAGGUGACUUUCAGCUGAAUUUCAGUGUCUUUAAAGGCUCAGGUUCUCCCUAAUUCCAUCAAGAAACCUUGAAUAUUUAUCCCACAGGGAGUGAACUCUGUACAACUCUAUUCAUCCCCUGGAAAAUGCAGCUCUGGAAACGUUUCAUUGCAGGGCUGUGGAAAUGCAAAUCAGGCUCAAGGCACGCUCACCCCUCCUCUGUCUGCCCUGCUCUCUGUGCAGGGAGCCAAAAUCCUGCAUUUUAACAUCAAACUGAUCUGCCAAGGCUCAGCAUCCAGUUCUGAGUGGAUUUGUUUGUUGUACCCGAGUUUAAAUCCACGAGGAAGCAGGAUAAUAAAGGGAAGUGGGACACACUUUACGACCCCCUUGGAAUGAAAGGAGAUUCACCAAGCCCGGAUUGCUGUGACCACACUGAGUUGAUUUUGUUUUCUAAACUAAUCUAAAAGAAAUAAAAGAGUUUCAGUCUCCCCUGA